rnacentral:lncRNA from 10 species
UAGGCCCUAUUUGAAGGAAAUGGCCAUGCUGUCUGGCUUCUUGAUGAGUCCCAGUACCCAGCACAGAGCACAGUACACUCUGUCUAAACCACUAAGGCCACAUGUUGGACGGAGGCACUUUCCUGCUGGAAUCCGAUAAAUCACCACACCCAAAUAUAGAAAGAAAAAGGGACACAGAUCAUCCACACCGUGGCCGAAUGUGUGACAUCUUUGCUGAACUCUCUCCGUUCCACCUUGUGGUGGAGGCCUCCAGUCCACCAAACACAGCCCUAGGCGUGUGAACCCUGCCACAAACAUCGGUGCUCUUCCUGCACAGGGCCUGGGACCAACCGUGGCCAGGACAUCAGCUGCUGGAAGCCGAGAGAGUUCAUCUGAGUGGCGAUUUUAUGAUCUGCAGAGUGGAAAGUAAUCAUAAUCCCUUGAGAAGUUUGCAGAAUCGAACCGAAUGUUGAAU